rnacentral:rRNA from 1 species
CCGACGGUGAGAGGUGAAAGCUGGGGGAGCAAACCGGAUUAGAUACCCGGGUAGUCCCAGCUGUAAACGAUGCGCGUUAGGUGUGUCAGUGACCACGUGUCACUGAUGUGCCGAAGGGAAACCGUGAAACGCGCCGCCUGGGGAGUACGGUCGCAAGGCUGAAACUUAAAGGGAUUGGCGGGGGAGCACCACAACGGGUGGAGCCUGCGGUUUAAUCGGACUCAACGCCGGAAAUCUCACCGGAUAA